rnacentral:rRNA from 1 species
UACGAAGGGGGGCUAGCGUUGCUCGGAAUCACUGGGCGUAAAGCGCACGUAGGCGGAUUGUUAAGUCAGGGGGUGAAAUCCUGGAGCUCAACUCCAGAACUGCCUUUGAUACUGGCGAUCUCGAGUCCGGGAGAGGUGAGUGGAACUGCGAGUGUAGAGGUGAAAUUCGUAGAUAUUUGCAAGAACACCAGUGGCGAAGGCGGCUCACUGGCCCGGUACUGACGCUGAGGUGCGAAA